UACGUAGGGUGCGAGCGUUGUCCGGAAUUGCUGGGCGUAAAGAGCUCGUAGGUGGUUUGUCGCGUUGUUCGUGAAAACCGGGGGCUUAACGCUCGGCGUGCGGGCGAUACGGGCAGACUUGAGUACUGCAGGGGAGACUGGAAUUCCUGGUGUAGCGGUGGAAUGCGCAGAUAUCAGGAGGAACACCGGUGGCGAAGGCGGGUCUCUGGGCAGUAACUGACGCUGAGGAGCGAAAGCGGGGGGAGCGAACAGG
rnacentral:rRNA from 1 species